GACGAACGCUGGCGGCGUGCUUAACACAUGCAAGUCGAGCGGUAAGGCCCUUUCGGGGGUACACGAGCGGCGAACGGGUGAGUAACACGUGGGUGACCUGCCCUCAGCUCUGGGAUAAGCCUGGGAAAACCGGGUCUAAUACUGGAUAUGACUCCAUGACGCAUGGUUGUGGGGUGGAAAGCCUUGUGCGGCUGAGGGACUGGGGCCCGCGGCCCUAUCAGCUUGUUGGUGGGGUGAUGGCCUACCAAGGCGACGACGGGUAG
rnacentral:rRNA from 1 species